AAAAGUCUUAAUAUGUCCAUUUUUAUGAAAACAAAAAUAUAAAUGAAGUUAAAACAUUUCAUCAACCGCCCCAGCUAAAAAUAUCCCAAAAUUUCUAAUACUCCUCAAUUUUGAACUUCUUUCAAGAUUUAUAGGGUCUUCUCGUCCUCUAAAAAAAUUUUAACUUUUUCAUAAAAAAAUAAAAUUCAAACAAUUAAAAUAAAGACAACUUAAUCCUUAUAAAUUCAUUCAUACAAUUUUACAAUCAAUAAACUAAUUAUUAUGCUNCCUUUGNAA
rnacentral:rRNA from 1 species